rnacentral:misc_RNA from 1 species
CGCACAUUGCGCCCUUUGGCAUUCCGAGGGGCAUGCCCGUUCGAGCGUCAUUAACUCCAAUCAAGCCUGGCUUGGUAUUGGGCGUCGGGGUCCCCCGCGCCUCAAUUUCACCGGCUGGCCGUCGCCCGUCUUAGCGUUGUGACUUAUGUUUCGCUAGCGAUGGGAGAGGGACCACGCCGUUAAACCCCACAGAUUCCAAUCGGAAUUUGAUUAAGGUUGACCUCGGAUCGGGUAGGAAUACCCGCUGAACUUAA